rnacentral:rRNA from 1 species
GGCCCAAACAAAUGAACAUACGGCGUAAAGCGUGUUUAAAACCCAUUUCCGAUAAAGUCAAACCGUAACUAAUCUGUAAAAAGUCCCUAGUUACUGUAAGUCCUAAAACUAAAGUAACUUUAAUCAUUUGACUACACGACAACUAAGAUCCAAACUGGGAUUAGAUACCCCACUAUGCUUAGUUUUAAACUAAAGUUGUUUUUAUAACAAAACUACUCGCCAGAGAACUACUAGCCAAAGCUAAAAACUCAAAGGACUUGGCGGUGCUUUACAUCCCUCUAGAGGAGCCUGUUCUAUAAUUGAUAAACCCCAAUAAACCUCACCAACCCUUGCUAAUU